CACGCACCGCCACUGGUCAGACGCCAUCACCCCGGCGCCGCUGUCGUUCGUCGAGCGCCCCGAUUAGGGAGACCGUUAAGAGACGGCGCGCUCUCCCGCUUCUCGCGCGCGUCCUCCCCUGCCUCGCGGCAAUUUUGCUGCUUUGUACCGCUUGUGAAGGUGCUCUCAUAUCGUCUGUGUAUAUGGAAUUGCUCUCGUCAAUCAGCGGAGCCUGCUCAGUGGCGCUGGCAUCGCCGCUACCAGUCACAGCAGUAUCAAUCAGUGCAACGAAGAUCACGGGAAGCGACGCUAUCGUACUGGAUAAACCAAUGCUACUCUCGUCACCAAGGGGCUUCACCACGUCAUCAAUGAGCCCUAUAAAAGAACCGCUGUUCAUCGACUACACCAGUGGGCAAGGCGCAAGCGCCACGAACGCAUCGUUCACCAUGCGUGUACUUCUCGUACAGGUUGGUUAUUGCCAUUUAGUACGCACCGCCAAAUGGUUUCUUGUCCUUCUGCCAUGCCCACGCAGAUGUUAGCGUAUUGCAUAUCAUUAUUUAUGCGUAUGUAAAACUUGUUUUGUGCGGUGAUGUCGAGGAGAAUCUCGGGCCACCGGUGGAUGAUAUGUUCAAAUCUAUAAUGGAUGGCCAACAGGUUAUUCUAUCUGAGACAAAUGAGCUGAAAUCAUGUCUUGAAGCUACACAAAAGGCUAUAAAUGGUUUUGGAAUACGGUUAGUUAACCUGGAGGGCAAAGUGCAAACGCUGCAACUCAAGGCUUCCGCAAUUUAAGGUAUCGGCGCAUCUAUGGAAGCUAUGCAACAGACGCUAAAAUCGCAACAAACGGAACUUGUGGACCUAGAACAUCGCAGCCGUAGGUCUAACCUGGUGA